CCUACGGGAGGCAGCAGUGGGGAAUAUUGCACAAUGGGGGAAACCCUGAUGCAGCAACGCCGCGUGAGUGAAGAAGUACUUCGGUAUGUAAAGCUCUAUCAGCAGGGACGAAAAUGACAGUACUUGACUAAGAAGCCCCGGCUAACUACGGCCCAGCAGCCGCGGCAAUACGUCGGGGGCAAGCGUGAUCCGGCUUUACUGGGGGUAAGGGGCGCGUAGUCGGGUGCGUAAGUCAGAAGGGAAAGCCCGGGGCUCAACCGCGGGACUGCUUUUGAAACUGUGUAGCUAGAGUGCAGGAGAGGUAAGUGGAAUUCCUAGUGUAGCGGUGAAAUGCGUAGAUAUUAGGAGGAACACCGGUGGCGAAGGCGGCUUACUGGACUGUAACUGACGUUGAGGCUCGAAAGCGUGGGGAGCAAACAGGAUUAGAUACCCGGGUAGUC
rnacentral:rRNA from 1 species